rnacentral:rRNA from 1 species
GACGAACGCUGGCGGCGUGCCUAAUACAUGCAAGUCGAGCGGACGAAUCGAAAGCUUGCUUUUGAUUCGUUAGCGGCGGACGGGUGAGUAACACGUGGGCAACCUGCCCUGUAGACGGGGAUAACACCGAGAAAUCGGUGCUAAUACCGGAUAACACGAAAUGUCGCAUGACGUUUCGUUGAAAGACGGCGCAAGCUGCCGCUACAGGAUGGGCCCGCGGCGCAUUAGCUAGUUGGUGAGGGAACGGCUCACCAAGGCGACGAUACGUAGCCGACCUGAGAGGGUGAUCGGCCACACUGGGACUGAGACACGGCCCAGACUCCUACGGGAGGCAGCAGUAGGGAAUCUUCCGCAAUGGACGAAAGUCUGACGGAGCAACGCCGCGUGAGCGAAGAAGGCCUUCGGGUCGUAAAGCUCUGUUGUUAGGGAAGAACAAGUAACGCAGUAACUGGCGUUACCGUGACGGUACCUAACGAGAAAGCCACGGCUAACUACGUG